CUGGAGGAAACGAAUGUGGACAGAUUUUUGGGCUGCUCUGACAUCCCUGCCCAGGGAAUCCAAGUGAGCUGAGGGCCGGGUAUGUCUGUCUGAUACAAGGGAAGGCGCCCACCAGCUCCCACCAUCCCGGGGGAGCUGGUUACAGGCAGCUCACUGUGUCAGCGAGUCUUCACUUUGCUGCCCGAAGGAGCCCCCUGAUCCAGAGGCAGGGGAACUAAUUGCCGAAUCCUGUCCAUUUCAUCUCCUAAACAUCCCUGGAGCUCAUCCCUGCCCAACGUGCUCUCCUCUCCUGGCUGGACCACUGCAGGGUCUCCUACUGGGCGCCUUCUUCCCUUUUUGCCUCCCUCCAGACUAACCGAAUGGGGAUGUCUGGAGGUGAGACCAGGGCAGAACUAUGUCCGAAUUUGUCAUUGUCACAGCACACGCUAAUCAUUCAGGAAUAUUCGGUGGAUUGAAUGACUAGAUAAUUACAACACGCAUUCAGGUGAAGGCAGUGAUGGUGGAUACACAACUGGGAAGAUCACAACCCCAAACUGAAGGAGGAGGCAUCUUAUUGAGAGAUAAAGGACUCACUGGACUUUUUCUGGCCAGAGCACUGGGGCAGGAGGAGGCUGCUCUGCAUAGCGGGUGCGAACAAGGCUGUGGAACAGGGGAUGCGGGUUCGAUCCCUGGUCUGGGAAGAUCCCACAUGCUGUGGAG